ensembl:rRNA 5S_rRNA 5S ribosomal RNA
GUCUACAGCCAAACUACCCUGAAUGCACCUGAUCUCGUCUAAUCUCAAAAGCUGAGCAUGGUCGGAUCUGGUUAGCACUUGUAUGGGAGACCACCUGGGAAUACUCGGUGCUGUAGGCU